rnacentral:rRNA from 1 species
UACGAAGGGGGCUAGCGUUGCUCGGAAUCACUGGGCGUAAAGCGCACGUAGGCGGCUUUCUAAGUCAGGGGUGAAAUCCUGGAGCUCAACUCCAGAACUGCCUUUGAUACUGGAGAGCUUGAGUCCGGGAGAGGUGAGUGGAACUCCGAGUGUAGAGGUGAAAUUCGUAGAUAUUCGGAAGAACACCAGUGGCGAAGGCGGCUCACUGGCCGU